rnacentral:ncRNA from 1 species
AAAGAAGCAAUAGCGAAAUCGUGGCCCUAUGAACAAGAACUUAAUAUUAAGGCCCAUUAGGUGGAUGAGUUAACUAAACAUAAUAAAGUCCCAAUGACAAACGUAAACCUAAUCGGUAAAUUAAGUGGGUAAACGAGGAAAGAUAU